ensembl:snoRNA
UGGAUCGAUGAUGACCACUGGUGGCGUAUGAGUCGUAUACGAUGAAUACGUGGAACUCUGAGGUCCAA